GUGCUGGCGGUGGCACCACGUAUCCCAAAAUGGGAAUGAUAAUGAGAAGAUGAGCCUGGCUCCUGCAUGGGGAUGACACACAAAUUCAUGAAGCCUUCCAUAUUUUU
rfam:Otolemur garnettii contig034951, whole genome shotgun sequence.